rnacentral:misc_RNA from 1 species
GAUGAAGAACGCAUCGAAAUGCGAUACGUAAUGUGAAUUGCAGAAUUCAGUGAAUCAUCGAGUCUUUGAACGCACAUUGCGCCCCCUGGUAUUCCGGGGGGCAUGCCUGUCCGAGCGUCAUUGCUGCCCUCAAGCACGGCUUGUGUGUUGGGCCUCCGUCCUCCUCCCGGGGGACGGGCCCGAAAGGCAGCGGCGGCACCGCGUCCGGUCCUCGAGCGUAUGGGGCUUCGUCACCCGCUCUUGUAGGCCCGGCCGGCGCUUGCCGACACAUCAAUCUUUUUUCCAGGUUGACCUCGGAUCAGGUAGGGAUACCCGCUGAACUUAAGCAUAUCAAUAAGCGGGAGGA